AAAAGAAACUAACAAGGAUUCCCUUAGUAGCGGCGAGCGAAGUGGGAAGAGCUCAAAUUUGUAAUCUGGCGUCUUUCAGGCGUCCGAGUUGUAAUCUAUAGAAGUGUUUUCCGUGCUGGACCGUGUCCAAGUCCCUUGGAACAGGGUAUCAAAGAGGGUGACAAUCCCGUACUUGACACGACCGCCAGUGCUCUGUGAUACGCUUUCUACGAGUCGAGUUGUUUGGGAAUGCAGCUCAAAAUGGGUGGUAAAUUCCAUCUAAAGCUAAAUAUUGGCGAGAGACCGAUAGCGAACAAGUACCGUGAGGGAAAGAUGAAAAGCACUUUGGAAAGAGAGUUAAACAGUAUGUGAAAUUGUUGAAAGGGAAACGAUUGAAGUCAGUCGUGUCCGAUCGGUUUCAGCCGGCUCUGCCGGUGUAUUACCUUUCGGACGGGUCAACAUCAGUUUUGGGUGGCGGAUAAUAGCGAGGUUGAAUGUGGCACCUUCGGGUGUGUUAUAGCUCCUUGUUGCAUACGCUGGCCGAGACUGAGGAAUGCAGCUUGCCCGCAAGGGCCGGGGACUUGUUCCCACGU
rnacentral:rRNA from 1 species